rnacentral:ncRNA from 1 species
UUCUUCGGGGCAGGGUGAAAUUCCCUACCGGCGGUAAAGUCCGCGACCUCCGAAAGGUGGAUGAACCGGUGAAACUCCGGUACCGACAGUAAAGUCUGGAUGAGAGAAGA